GGUUCAGUGGUCUAGUGGUUAUGAUUUCUGUCUUACACACAGAAGGUCCCCGGUUCGAUCCCGGGCUGAACCA
rnacentral:tRNA from 1 species